AUUCAGCUGACGAGUCCCGAAUUGGACGAAAAUGAGCGUCCGGGAU
rfam:Schistosoma mattheei strain Denwood, Zambia genome assembly, scaffold: SMTD_scaffold0000049